rnacentral:lncRNA from 1 species
UUUUUAUGAUUUUUGUGCACGUGUGAAAAAAUAAAAUGCCUAGGGUUUGAUUGAAUGUGUUCAUUUUGUAUAUGCUUUGCCAUUUCACUUAUAAAAUGAUGAUGCUUCCAUAGAAAUGCUUGAAACUUUUUGUGCUUAUUCUUGACUCUAUGCUGGUGAUUUUGGUAUGUAGUUUGUAAUUUUUGGAUCCCUGGUUGAUGAGAUAUGAAUUUUUGAAUAAGAGGUGUGACAAUUUGUGUCACACCAUGCUUGAUGAAUUUCAUGAUUUUAUUUGAUGUGCUUGUGAACAUUGGAUUGAGUCAAAUUUUUGCAUGAUUGAGCAUAUGUAUGUUGAGAAUACAUGAAACUUUUUCUGGAUUUAUUGAUGGCAUUUCCUAUUUGAUUGGGAUUUUUC